rnacentral:rRNA from 1 species
AAUUGUAGCUUGCUACAUGACCUAGCGGCGGACGGGUGAGUAAUACUUAGGAAUCUGCCUAUUAGUGGGGGACAACGUUCCGAAAGGAGCGCUAAUACCGCAUACGCCCUACGGGGGAAAGCAGGGGAUCUUCGGACCUUGCGCUAAUAGAUGAGCCUAAGUCGGAUUAGCUAGUUGGUAGGGUAAAGGCCUACCAAGGCGACGAUCUGUAGCGGGUUUGAGAGGAUGAUCCGCCACACUGGGACUGAGACACGGCCCAGACUCCUACGGGAGGCAGCAGUGGGGAAUAUUGGACAAUGGGCGCAAGCCUGGUCCAGCCAUGCCGCGUGUGUGAAGAAGGCCUUAUGGUUGUAAAGCACUUUAAGCGAGGAGGAGGCUUACCUGGUUAAUACCUAGGAUAAGUGGACGUUACUCGCAGAAUAAGCACCGGCUAACUCUGUGCCAGCAGCCGCGGUAAUACAGAGGGUGCAAGCGUUAAUCGGAAUUACUGGGCGUAAAGCGCGCGUAGGUGGCCA